UAGCGGCGAGCGAACGGGGACCAGGCCUGGUCUGAAAUAAAGCAAAGCAUCUGGAAAGUUGCGCCAUAGUGGGUGAUAGCCCCGUAGCUGUAAAAUGAAGACCUUUUCGAGUAGGGCGGGACACGUGAAAUCCUGUCUGAACAUGGGGGGACCACCCUCCAAGCCUAAGUACUCCUUACCGACCGAUAGUGAACCAGUACCGUGAGGGAAAGGCGAAAAGAACCCCGGAGAGGGGAGUGAAAUAGAACCUGAAACCGCAUGCGUACAAGCAGUGGGAGCAUCUUUACGAUGUGACUGCGUACCUUUUGUAUAAUGGGUC
rnacentral:rRNA from 14 species